rnacentral:lncRNA from 1 species
UUCUUUCCCUUUUUUUCACGAGGAGUUCUCUUUCUAUUUUUUCUAGUGCCUUUUUUCCCGGCUGCAAUAGCAGGCAACCUUUGAUUGAUUUUGUUUAUGCACAUAUGUACCGUAGGAAAAUAGUAAUGGCAUAGGUGGGUAAUUUUCUUUCAUUUGUAACGUUGAUAGGUAAUUGUUGAGAUCUAUUGGCUGUGGUUUCCCGAAUUAUUAAAUUAAUGCUAGAUGUUUCUAAUUUUUGUUAGAAUUUCUAAGGUAUUUUCUUUUUUCUAGUUAACCCAUCAUUUACUUUUUAUGUUAAAUAGAUGAGCUCUGCUGAAGGUCAUAUAUGUAUUAAUUUGCUACAUCAAGGUUCCAAAUAACUCACAUGGUGCAUCCACUUUCUUUUCCCAAAUAAAUCAAGGGCUCUUCCAAGGCUGUUUAAACAGUAAAAUAUAUAUCAAAUAAAAAAUCCUUUACAGCUAUAUAAUAUAUACAUACAAAAGAGUAUUUACUUACUAAUACUCCGAGCUGAAGAAACUUUUUAGCAUCGUGUCACUUGUUUGGAUGGAGAAUAGUUGAAAAGAGUGAGAGAAUACACACUACUACAUAUAAGACAAACAUCUAGAUGACGCACCUAUGAGGCUGUGAUAACCAUUGUUUGCAACUACAUCACACCAACAUUCAAUGGGGUCCUGUACAUGUAUUUUAGAUAUUAGAUGAAUUUAAGGUGCAGCUAAAAGAGUACAAAAAAUAAUAUUGUGAAGAAAAUGCUAUGGAAAACAUUAUUACUGAUGCAGCUAUGAUGGCCAAUGUUAUUAACUACACCUCUAAGAAUAGUCUUGUGAACAAAUUAAUAUGAAGAUAGUACUACACAAACGUCUCACUGAUUUCCUGCAAAUAAUGGUCACUGAAAUUCAUGUGCCAUGUCUCAGACACAAGAACCGGAAACCACAACUUUAAGCUAAGUGCUUUUGUUAAGCCUCUGGAGCUCCUCAUGGUAGUAAACAACCUAGUACGAAAGCCAAAUCCUUCUAUGUUCUUUUAACUCAAAUCAUCACAUGUCUACUUUUUCCCCCACAAGUAAAAUUAUACAGCUCCUCUUGGUGGCAAGGAACCUAGGGAACAACCGAAUUAGUACAUUCAUUCUUUUCUAAUUCAUAUCGAAUGGGCAAUCUUGGACAUCAUGAGUUCAAAGAACAUCAGAGAGAAUACAAAAUCUCUAGACACUAAGAAAAUUUAGGUGACCGCAGAAACAUGUUUGCACUCUCACUUGGACCUCCACCUCAUCUUGAAUCCUGGAACCUAACAUGGUGGGUGUAACACUACUGCGAAUCCAACUAACAAAAGAUUCGGGACCCCUUCUCUAUCAUUUCGGUUAUUACAGACUAUAUACUUUCCUGCCAUUAAAGACAUAAUAAAUUUUAAUGUCCAGGCGCAUAGCUGCAGUAACUAUAGAAUGUUAUACAGGUCCGUGAGUGAAAUUAACUCAAAGGUAUACAUGUAAACAUGGGUUUUAUUUGAUGAACAAUCAUUGAUUUGGCGCCUUGGUUUUCAGUAGGCUAGUGUCCAAAAGCUUAUCAAACAUGCAUAUCACCGGCUACAAAAUUCUUGCACUGAAAUCACGAUCAUAAUGGCAUAAUUUUUUGCACACUCUAGCAUUAUUGUAACACCAGCGGACACAUACUUACCAAAUGCCGAAUCAAUAUAGUGACACACUGGAACAUGGUUUCUAAUCUUAUUCUGCUCCAUCUCCCACUGUUGCCUCCAUCUGCACGUACUCCACAUAUCACAUAACUCCUUCUUCGGCUGCAGCUGUACGUGUGUUGUUACCUGUGCCGCACAGUAGGACUGAUUUGGCUAGGACCUGAAGCCGAGUUACAUGUACCUCUGUGCGCAAGGUAGGUUAAUUGAUCGUUCAAGAAGAUUCAAUAAACUGGUAGCAGAAGUCGGCGGCUACCAUCAUCAAUCA